rnacentral:tRNA from 3 species
GGGCCCUUAGCUCAGUUGGGAGAGCGCCUGCUUCGCAUGCAGGAGGUCGUCGGUUCAAAUCCGGUAGGUCCA